rnacentral:rRNA from 1 species
AGAGUUUGAUCAUGGCUCAGGACGAACGCUGGCGGCGUGCUUAACACAUGCAAGUGGAGCGACGAACCAGGGCUUGCCCUGGGGCAGAGCCGCGAACGGGUGAGUAACACGUGGGUAACGUGCCCCAAUGAUCGGGACAACCCGGGGAAACCCGGGCUAAUACCGAAUGUGCUCCCCUCACACCAGUGAGGGAUGGAAAGGAAGCUUCGGCCUCCGCAUUGGGAUCGGCCCGCGGCCCAUUAGCUUGUUGGUGAGGUAACGGCUCACCAAGGCUGCGAUGGGUAGCUGGUCUGAGAGGACGAUCAGCCACACUGGGACUGAGACACGGCCCAGACUCCUACGGAAGGCAGCAGUGGGGAAUCUUGCGCAAUGCGCGAAAGCGUGACGCAGCAACGCCGCGUGGGGGAAGAAGGCCUUCGGGUUGUAAACCCCUUUCAGGAGGGACGAAGGUUGGGCGGUGAAUAGCCGACCUGACUGACGGUACCUCCAGAAGAAGCCCCGGCUAACUACGUGCCAGCAGCCGCGGUAAUAC